GCGUGCGAAUGUGUGAGCAUGUGUGAGUUCCUGCGUGUGUGACUUCAGGCGUGUGUGUGUGUGUGUUUGUGUGUGUGUUGGAAUGGGGGUGGGGGGCGGUCCUGGAAAGGCCGAGAGCCUUGGAAUCUGAGGAGUCUGCAGCCCAUUCUUGAUACUGCUUUACUUUCCAAAAAGUUAUGACAACAAAACCACCCUGGGGCCCAGACCUGGAAGCCGUCAGCUAUGGAGGACCCUGGAAGCAGGCAGAGAAAGGUUUGGAGUUUUCAGUGCGAUGACACCAGCGUGCCUGCGGAAGUGGCUGUGUCUCCUCUUGCCUCCUUCCCCACCCAAUUCCGCCCCAGGAGCCCAGGGAUGGAGGCCCAGGAGACGGAUCCCACAAGAGCCAGCACCCACUCCACCCCAGAACCCCAUAAGAUUCGGAUGCAGCCAGUGGGGGACAGGAACUUCAGCAGGGGAAGCCGCAGCCCUGGGUGUAGACCCCAUCCACUCGUGCCUGAUGCAGCCCUCCUCUCAAGGAAGGGCGAGCUCACUGAAGGGGACAGGUCACAGGUCAGCCCAAUUCACCCUGAGCACAGAAAUGCACACUGCAUUUAGGACGGCCGGAUUGCUGGACCAAACCUGUCUCUCUGUCCCCUGCACACAUAUGCACAUGCGCAUGCACAGAGACGCAUGCUGAACUUCUACGGAAGAGGAGAGCGGUAGGACCAGGCUCUCCAGGGUCCUGCCUUGGGGUCUCUCCCCACAACUGUGGCAUAAACCUCUCUCCAGAAACAGAGGGCCUGAUAACCCGUCAGCUCCCCAGAAUCCGAAUCCUAAAAGGCUCUCCCCAGGGUUCGUCCGGCUUCAGCAGAGACCCUUCCCACCCAGGCCGGAGCCCUGCAUUCAGUUGCCAGGGACACCGUGCAGUACGGCCCCCAGCAACCUGAAGACAUCAAGGUCCCAUCCCCCUGCUUCCAAGCUGCCAACCUUCCUCAUUUCCUGGGUGGUGGGUAAGGGGCAGGGGGCAUGGGGCAGAAAGAGAUCCUCCCCCUCUCUUGGGGCUUCCUCCACCAGCCCCCUCCCCACUGAAGCUCCCUUCUGAAGGAGGCUGGAGAGCUGCUGCGGAGAGAGGAGCCCAUGUGGGAUGCCCUCCCAACACACACAGGCUGAUCACCUCACCAAAUCCUUAUUAAAACCAUCCCUGUUCAAAGGCAAAAUCAGCCAACCACCAGUGUCCCUCUGACCUAAUGUCCAGCAGGGCAAGAGCUCAAUGCCUGGAUGUCACCUCCAGGGCCUCAGCAACUGUGCAUCUCUGCUCAGGCUACCAAACAAAACACCCCAGACUUCGUGGCUUAAACACAGAAAUUUAUUUUCUCAUAGUUCUUAAGGCUGGAAGGCCAAGAUCAAGGUGCUGGCAGGGUUGAUUUCCGUGGAGGGCUCCCUGCUUGGAUUGCAGACGGCUGCCUUCUGGCCGAGAGCUCACGUGACGGAGACAGCGCACUCUCUGGGGUCUCCUCCUGUGAGGACACUAAUCCUAGCAGAGCAGGGGCCCACCCUGAGAACCUCACUUAACCAUAACUAUUUCCUUAGAGGCUCCAUUUCCAAAUACAGCCACCCUGAGGGUCGGGGCUUCCACAUCUGAAUUUGGGGGAGCACAAACAUUCAGCCUGUGACAAGGAUACCAACAGAUGUCAGCCACCACAGCCAGGCCUUGUGACCCAACAGGAGGCUGCGGUGUCCCUGGGCAUCGCUGGGGCAUGUCUCAAAUGGGUCUAAACCCAGUCUCUCUGGCUGAGAGCAGAGGUCUGAGAGGCUCAAUGGCAGGAAGGAGCCCAGUUCAGUGGGGAGGCAGAGAGCACGCAGCCUCCCUCCUUGGCGGGGUUCGGAUGCUGGCCAGCCUUCAGGGCUGGCCGGCUGCUGCCCAAGGCCUCCCGCUUCUCCAGGAAGGGC
rnacentral:lncRNA from 1 species